GACGAACGCUGGCGGCGUGCUUAACACAUGCAAGUCGAACGAUGAAGAAGAGAAACGCGAACUUCGGUUCAAAUUUCACUUCGGAUUAGUGGCAGACGGGUGAGUAACGCGUGAGCAACCUACCUCUUACAAAGGGAUAGCCUCGGGAAACCGUGAUUAAUACCAUAUGACACAUUCAUAAGGCAUCUUAAGAAUGUUAAAGCUACGGCGGUAAGAGAUGGGCUCGCGUCCCAUUAGCUAGUUGGUGAGGUAACGGCCCACCAAGGCGACGAUGGGUAACCGGGCUGAGAGGGUGAACGGUCACAUUGGAACUGAGACACGGUCCAAACUCCUACGGGAGGGAGCAGUGGGGAAUAUUGCACAAUGGAGGGAACUCUGAUGCAGCGACGCCGCGUGAGCGAUGAAGGAAUUCGUUUCGUAAAGCUCUGUUCUAUGGGAAGAAAAGGACUGUACCAUAGGAGAAAGCCCCGGCUAAAUACGUG
rnacentral:rRNA from 1 species